UACAGAGGUGGCAAGCGUUGUUCGGAAUUACUGGGCGUAAAGGGCGCGUAGGCGGGAUGGCAAGUCGGUCGUGAAAUCCCUCGGCUCAACUGAGGAUCGUCGAUCGAUACUGCCGUUCUUGAGGAUUGCAGAGGAGACUGGAAUUCCCGGUGUAGCGGUGAAAUGUGUAGAGAUCGGGAGGAACACCGGUGGCGAAGGCGGGUCUCUGGGCAAUUCCUGACGCUGAGGCGCGAAAGCGUGGGGAGCAAAAGGG
rnacentral:rRNA from 1 species